CCUACGGGAGGCAGCAGUGGGGAAUCUUGCGCAAUGGGCGAAAGCCUGACGCAGCCAUGCCGCGUGAAUGAUGAAGGUCUUAGGAUUGUAAAAUUCUUUCACCGGGGACGAUAAUGACGGUACCCGGAGAAGAAGCCCCGGCUAACUUCGUGCCAGCAGCCGCGGUAAUACGAAGGGGGCUAGCGUUGCUCGGAAUUACUGGGCGUAAAGGGAGCGUAGGCGGAUAGUUUAGUCAGAGGUGAAAGCCCAGGGCUCAACCUUGGAAUUGCCUUUGAUACUGGCUAUCUUGAGUGUGGGAGAGGUAUGUGGAACUCCGAGUGUAGAGGUGAAAUUCGUAGAUAUUCGGAAGAACACCAGUGGCGAAGGCGACAUACUGGCCCAUUACUGACGCUGAGGCUCGAAAGCGUGGGGAGCGAAACAGGAUUAGAUACCCUGGUAGUCCACGCUGUAAACGAUGAGUGCUAGUUGUCGGCAGNANGCUGUCGGUGCGC
rnacentral:rRNA from 1 species